AAGAAAUAUGAGCUAACUGAAAAUGGAGGUACAAACAACACAGAUAUUCUGUAAAACAAAGAAGAACCUAUUUGUUAUUCUUGAUAUCACUGGUUUGCCUUUCCGGGUUAAAGUACCAGGCUGCCUCAUGUCGUUCUGUCCAGCUUUCUGUCUUUUAUACAGUGUUCCACCAAAGGUUGUUUUCCUGCAUUCCAGUCCUCACUUCUUAA
rnacentral:lncRNA from 1 species